rnacentral:sRNA from 1 species
GCCAGGUGUGGUGGCGCAUGCCUGUAAUCCCAGCAGCUCAGGGGGCUGAGGCAGGAGGAUCUCAAGUUCAAAGCCAGCGUCAGCCAAAACCAGGCAUUAAGCAACUCAGUGAGGCCCUGUCUCUA